AUAACGACUCUCGGCAACGGAUAUCUCGGCUCUCGCAUCGAUGAAGAACGUAGCGAACUGCGAUACUUGGUGUGAAUUGCAGAAUCCCGUGAACCAUCGAGUCUUUGAACGCAAGUUGCGCCCGAAGCCAUUCGGCCGAGGGCACGUUUGCCUGGGUGUCACA
rnacentral:rRNA from 12 species